rnacentral:rRNA from 1 species
GGUAAUACGGAGGGGGUUAGCGUUGUUCGGAAUUACUGGGCGUAAAGCGCGCGUAGGCGGAUUAGAAAGUUGGGGGUGAAAUCCCGGGGCUCAACCUCGGAACUGCCUCCAAAACUGCUAGUCUAGAGUUCGAGAGAGGUGAGUGGAAUUCCGAGUGUAGAGGUGAAAUUCGUAGAUAUUCGGAGGAACACCAGUGGCGAAGGCGGCUCACUGGCUCGAUACUGACGCUGAGGUGCGAAAGUGUGGGGAGCAAACAGGAUUAGAUACCCUGGUAGUCCACACCGUAAACGAUGAAUGCCAGUCGUCGGGUAGUAUACUAUUCGGUGACACACCUAACGGAUUAAGCAUUCCGCCUGGGGAGUACGGUCGCAAGAUUAAAACUCAAAGGAAUUGACGGG